AGAACGAACGCUGGCGGCAGGCUUAACACAUGCAAGUCGAGCGCGUAGCAAUACGAGCGGCAGACGGGUGAGUAACGCGUGGGAAUCUGCCCUUGGGUUCGGAAUAACUUCGGGAAACUGAAGCUAAUACCGGAUGAUGACGUAAGUCCAAAGAUUUAUCGCCCAAGGAUGAGCCCGCGUAGGAUUAGCUAGUUGGUGAGGUAAAGGCUCACCAAGGCGACGAUCCUUAGCUGGUCUGAGAGGAUGAUCAGCCACACUGGGACUGAGACACGGCCCAGACUCCUACGGGAGGCAGCAGUGGGGAAUAUUGGACAAUGGGCGAAAGCCUGAUCCAGCAAUGCCGCGUGAGUGAUGAAGGCCUUAGGGUUGUAAAGCUCUUUUGCCCGGGAUGAUAAUGACAGUACCGGGAGAAUAAGCUCCGGCUAACUCCGUG
rnacentral:rRNA from 1 species